rnacentral:lncRNA from 10 species
GCCAGGCCCUGAGCCUUAUCUUUUCAUCAUAUGCCCAUCAAGGUAUAUUGCUAAAGAGAAGAGAGCUCUCCAAUUUCAGAAGUUCUGCCUAAGCUUUAACGCCUGAUGUCUGGGAGCUCGUCUAAUUCUGCCACUUUAAGGGUCUACUCUGCAGUCCUCAAAGUUCAGAUGAUUCUUCCCCAAACCAUCAAAGACAGCCCUGGCUGUCUCUGAGUUCUUAUGCCCAUGAGGAUGACCUAUGAAUCCCAGAAAGAUACAGUUUAGAGAAGCAGCAUCAAGAGAGGCUCUGAUGUGGCUUCAUCACUAACUGCAGCAGGACAACAUCAGUGCACAUUCGGAGCCCGUUUUAUAGAAUGGACUGUGAAGGCAAAGUGUCAAAGAGGGAAAAGGCAGCAUUGCAAAGACAGAGCAG